rnacentral:lncRNA from 1 species
AGGAUCCCCCAAAGAUUCGAUUACCUGAAGACAGCAGGAAUUAAAGAAUACAACACCCACGUUCCCAAGAGGUGGGGUGGAAUGAGACAUGUCUUCUCUUGGUGGUGCAAAUCUACUUCAAAGAUGAUGGGCAUUGAACAAACUCCACAUGGAGUUUACUUUCUUUGUGGCAAAAGUUAUCCGCUGAGCAAAAAAGUGCUCUUGCCUCGACUGUUGACAGUACGCUGUCCAAAUUGUACAAGCAGGACACAAAAGAAACGACUGCUGAACUUUGCCAAGAUAAGUGUGGCAAUGCAGAAACAGCUAACAAAGGAACUGUUCUUGAAUCACAAACCCACCCCUGGGCCAACAAAGUCAAGUCAGGGGGAAGAGAGGCAGCAUCUUUCAGCACGGUGUGAGACAUGACUGUUGGGAUAGCAAGACCUGUGGACCAGCCAUGGUAUCCUAGUUAUGCUGUGAUGGGAGCAGGUUACCUGGCUUACACUUCCACAUCACAGUCCAUCGCUGAAGGAAGUCAGGACAAGAACUCAGACAGGGGAGGAGCCUGGAGGCAGGAGCUGAUGCAGAGGCCAUGGAGAGGGGCUGCUUGCUCAGCUUGCUUUCUUAGAGAACCCAGGACCACCACCCCAGUGGUGGUACCACCCACAAUGAGCUGGGCUGUUGGGACCCUGAUGGGUGACCUAAAAUGCCCUUGGUGUUAUCUGUCCUCCU